ACUAAACCAUGUCACCCAAGGCUCUGUCCAACCCGGCCUUGAACACUGCCAGGGAUGGAGCAUUCACAACUUCCCUGGGCAACCCAUUCCAGCGCCUCACCACCCUUACAGUCAAGAACUACCUCCUUAUAUCCAAUCUAAACUUCCCCUGUUUAAGUUUUAACCCAUUACCCCUUGUCCUAUCACUACAGUCCCUAAUGAAGAGUCCCUCCCCAGCAUCCUUAUAGGACCCUUUCAGAUACUGGAAGGCUGCUAUGAGGUCUCCACACAGUUCCUUCUCUUUUUCACUUCAUAGAUGUUUUGGAUCCAAGACAUACUGGUUCCUGGUCAUAUCUACUAUUGUUUUUGUCAUCCCAAAAUGGGAUUACUGCAGCUCGUCCAGAUGCUGCAUCGAUUACUAGUCUUUCAAAGAUUGCAUAUGUUUGCAAACUUCUGCACAUUAUGAACUUAGAUUGCUUUAAGUCCUUUGAUGGCAUCUUCAGCUCUGUUAGAUUUUCCUAAACAUUCUUCAGAUCAACUUUGAAGUCAGAGACCUCCUCUGUUGUUUCACUAUAGCUCAUACUCUUUCUUUUUAAAAAUUAAAAUUGCUGCUGACACCUUUAAAGCUUUUCUAUAGUGGUUAGCCCGUAGCUAACAUUUGUACAAUCAUUAUUUUAGUAGCUAAAUGUUUCAAUUUGUUUGCCUGGGCAUUUCUUAUGUGGUCUUAUGCAGUGGCUACUGGGUAUGCUAAAUGCAUGGCUUUUCUGAGGCAUCAAAAGUAACCAUACAUUUCAUUGUUCUCUGAUUCAUAACUGGUGGGUAAACCAUUUCAUGGUUAAACGUUCAUCUUAAAGGUAUUAAAUUUUAGCACUAUUUAGAAUUAACUACUUUAUUAAUAAUGAAACUUUUACCCCAAGUGAAAGUUUUCAGUUUAACCCAUCCUUUUGAUUUAAAAAUUAGCAGGUCAUAUAAAUACUUUGUAAGGAGUCAUUGAAAAGGAAAUAGAAUUGAGCUGUGUCAGAUAUCCUGUGGCUUGUAUUUCCAGAAGUUCCCAUUUCAUUGUAAAACAUAUUUCAGUGUCAGUUCACAGACCCCUUGUGUUCCAGCUCCAGAAUUCUUACCAGGCAGUACCAACAUUUUGUGGUGAGCUUUAUCAUGAAGUUUGGGCUCAGCAGGUCAAGUGCUUUUGCCUGUAACCUACACCGAUUUAGGCAGCGUUCAAUUCUGGAAAGAAGAGAGCAGUCCAGUACCAUACAAUAUUUUAACAGCAGAUUCGUCUGGUUAAUAAAAUACUAGGUGCUUGGUCCUUACCAUGUGAAUAUUGAAAGCCUGGAAAACAUCACUGCAAGUGAAGCUGCCUUUUGAGUCUCCCAUAGAGCACAAAAGGGAGGAAAAAGAAAUACAAGAAGUUGAAGGAGAAAACCCCCAGCUAACCACAAGUACAAAUUACAUCACUGGCCUAGCAUGUGAACAGCUACUAACAGUGGGUCCAGGAUCAUUUCUUCUGUGACGCUGAAUACUAGGCUGUUUACGGAAUGUUUAAAAUAUGUAAAGAAAAAGAAUACUUUAAACUGUUAUGAAAAUGUUGGAUUCAAAAGGUAUCACUGUUCCCUUUUGGUCAGUUCAAGCCUGUUGCAGCAGACCUGUUUUUGUUAGUCACAGCUUUUGCAAACCUCUUCAAUAUUCCAUCUAAUUUACUCUACAUCAGUAUUAUUUUAACUGUUAAAUACAAAGACAAUAAUGUUGCAUAUAACCUAGUACCAUGAAACCUGUGCUUUCCAUUCCUGUUUUGGUUUCACCAUGCACAAAUGGACCUUAAAAAUCUCCUCAGAAAAUGGAAUAAAUCUGCAAGAACCUAAGAGAAGACACCUGAACUCACUUCACACUAACCCUACUAUUUUGUUCCUUAAAUAUCUGCUACGGAUGACUGUCAAAGAUAACGAAGCAGCUGAAUAAACCCUUUGGAUAAUAAGGUAUCAUCAAAGAAAAUGGUAUGGAUGAUUUUACUUUUCACUAAAAAAACGUGAAAUGUGUGACAUUACACAUGGAGAAUGUAUAAUACACCUUGGCCCACACGAGUCUUAUUUUCAGAGGCCAGCUCUGACAAUGGCACAUUCUACUGUACUGAAAUUGCCCAACAUUCUUCUUCAGCUGCUGCUUGAAAUGAAAUUGGCUCCUGAAUCAGUAAACCAAACCAGUUAGGUAGGCA